GGCGGACGGGUGAGUAAUGCUUGGGAAUAUGCCUUAUGGUGGGGGACAACAGUUGGAAACGACUGCUAAUACCGCAUGAUGUCUACGGACCAAAGUGGGGGACCUUCGGGCCUCACGCCAUAAGAUUAGCCCAAGUGGGAUUAGCUAGUUGGUGAGGUAAUGGCUCACCAAGGCAACGAUCCCUAGCUGGUUUGAGAGGAUGAUCAGCCACACUGGGACUGAGACACGGCCCAGACUCCUACGGGAGGCAGCGGUGGGGAAUAUUGCACAAUGGGCGCAAGCCUGAUGCAGCCAUGCCGCGUGUGUGAAGAAGGCCUUCGGGUUGUAAAGCACUUUCAGUAAGGAGGAAAGGUUAAGUGUUAAUAGCACUUAGCUGUGACGUUACUUACAGAAGAAGCACCGGCUAACUCCGUGCCAGCAGCCGCGGUAAUACGGAGGGUGCGAGCGUUAAUCGGAAUUACUGGGCGUAAAGCGUAC
rnacentral:rRNA from 1 species